GGCCGCCGGCUGGAGCAGACGCUCAGACGCGACCAUGCAGCAACGGGCGCAGCGGGCGCGGGGGGCCCGGGGACCUGUGGGGAUGCGUCUGAUUCUUUGCUUCGUGCUGUUGAGUAGCUGCCCGGGGGGCUGGGACUCCGUUAGUCCCCACGGCUGUCUCUUGGCGCGAAGACUCUGCUCUUACCUGGAAGUCUGUGCCAAGGAGGGACAGGGCCAGGUGGGAAUGCAACCGUCCAGGUCCUGGCAAGAAGUCAUCAGCCUGGCCUUCCAAUACUGGCAAGGUGUGCUCCAGCGGCUGGUGCCUCAAGGUGAAAGCAGAAGAGCUGAAAGAGAGAGACCAGGCUGUCAGGUGUAAAGGACUGUUCUGGAAGGAUGAUGACCCUCAAGAUGUGAAGACCCAGAAGAUGGAGGACAUGCCCAGGAUCCAUGCCUCAGAGACCUGCAUGAGGGAUGCAUAGGCAGCCUUUUCCAUCAAAACCAUUACGCCAAGGGGCAAGUGCAAAGAGAAACUCUGAAUGCUGUUCCCUAAGGUGAGGGGCCCUCAGGGAUUUUGAAAUUCUUCAUUUGGAUCCCAUCUCUUUUCCUCUGGGCCUUUUCACCAUUUCCUCUUCACCUUUGACUCCUGCCUUCCUUCUCCUCAGAGCCCAGUGACCAAGGUGAACAAGGAACAAUGCUUGGACUCUGAAAUGGUUUCAGAGGUCCUGAACCAAGAGAUGACCAACCAUGGCAAGGCCCCCCUGCAGGGGAGGGCUUGGCCUUGUCCAGGAAAACUGAGCCCACCCAGGGCCUGUUUAUAGAGGGAGGCAGGGUGAAGGAGGGAAUAGACAUUGGUUGAUAAGGAAUGAAAAGACUUCACUGAGGCUGAUGGAGAACCUUCUGGAAGAGAGGGCCUGGAGGAUGGAAAAGAACAGAGCUUCCAAUACAGAGCCCGCCCAAUCCAGCCUCUGCCGCUGCCCAGCUGUGAUCUUGGACACAUUCCCUAGGCUCUUCAAGUCCCUUCUUCUACAUCUGUAAAAUCGCAAUGCUAAUAAAGGCGACCCCUCU